GGAGAACUGGCCAAAGGGUGAAGCACAGAGAGGGAGGGAAAGUAACGGAUGGGCGAAAACCAGCUGCCUCAGUUCACACUGCGGGUAACUCUGCUGUGAGGGUGACUCCUGAUCAACACCAGCAUGGGCAGGAGAAUCAGGCUCUUGUCUGGAGCAUUUCCAAUGAGGUCUCCACCCAGAACAGAGAGACCCUUUUGAGUGGAUGCAGGACCAGUCUCCCCAGCCUCAGGGUACAAGCCAGCCCAGAGCAUGCGGUGUGGGUCUCAUGGCAGAGUCCUUUCCACCCGUGCUUAGAGUUAGUGCAGCUGAGGGAUUUGGGGGCCAGACCCUCAGCUGGUGCAAACUAGCACUGACUUCAAUGGAGCGACACCAAUUUACACUGCUGAAGAUCGAGGCCUGAUGUUCAGGUGCACACGGUGGAUACAUUCAGUCCCAAGGCUAUAAGGAGAUGGUCUGGGCUAGUGGUUAGAGCACCUGCCUGGGGUCUCUUCUCAGCUCUGCAGUGGGCUUGCUGUGUGGCCGUGGAGCCUCGGAUUCCCCGUCUGUAUCACUGGGAAUGUACAGACCUGUCUGCCGUGGGGGCUAAAGUUAUUAAUGUUUGUGAAUCAUGGUGAGAGCUUUGGAUAAAAGAAACUAGUGAAA